rnacentral:misc_RNA from 1 species
UUUCCGUAGGUGAACCUGCGGAAGGAUCAUUAUUGUAUAACCGAGGUGCGAGGGCUGUCGCUGACCCGAAAGGUCGUGCACGCCCGAGUGCCCUCACACACAUCCAUCUCACCCCUAUGUGCACCACCGCGUGGGUCCCCCUUUGGCUUGUUCGGAGGGGGGCUUACGUUUUCACACAAUCUUUGUAUGCAGUGUAGAGUGUAUUUUUUGUUUUUGCGAUCACGCAAUCAAUACAACUUUCAACAACGGAUCUCUUGGCUCUC